GGGGGUGCACCGGUUUCGACGGAUGCGAGAAAGCAUUUACUGCAAGUAGGUGUCAAGGCGCCUCAAGCUGAGAAAAACAAUAACUGCAAUCUUCGACAGAAAAGAAGAAGAUAAUUCUUCUGAAGAACAGUUUGCUCUUGCUGCGUAAGUAGCGAGCACGGAAUCCAUGCGGUGCUGUUCCUAACCUCAUGGCAUUCCGACGCCAACAGGGACUUGUCGCACGUUGCGUUCGACCGAUGUGCGAGACAUUCAGCCGGAAUACGGAAAAGACGCUUGUCAUGCUGCUACCUUUUCCCGACAAAUACCUCGCAUGACUAAACCUGUAGACGUAUCUGGUUUACGCAUUCGGACGCGGGUUCAAUUCCCGCCAUCUCCA
rnacentral:tmRNA from 1 species